rnacentral:rRNA from 1 species
AAACAUGUCUUUUUUUUUUAUUAAAAGGUUUUGCCUCCCCAGUGAUAUAAAUUCAACGGCCGCGGUAUAUUGACCGUGCAAAGGUAGCAUAAUCAUUAGUCUUUUAAUAGGGGGCUGGUAUGAAAGGUUAAACGAAACAUUAACUGUCUUAUUUAUAAAUAUUAAAAUUUAACUUUUAAGUCAAAAGGCUUAAAUUUUUUUGGAGGACGAGAAGACCCUAUAGAGCUUUACAUUAUAUUUUUUAAUAUUUCUUGGUUGAAUAUUUUGAUAUUAAUUUAUCUAUUGUUUUGUUGGGGUGACAAUAAAAUAUGAUUAACUUUUUAUAAAACUUACAUUUAUUUAUGAAUUUUUGAUCCAAUAUUAUUGAUCAUUAGAUUAAGUUACCUUAGGGAUAACAGCGUAAUCUUUCUUAGGAGUUCAAAUUUACAGAAAGGCUUGCGACCUCGAUGUUGGAUUAAGAUAAUAGUUAGGUGCAGUAGCUUAACGAAUAGGUCUGUUCGACCUUUAAAUUCUU